rnacentral:tRNA from 12 species
GCGUGGUUGAAAGCGUAUGACCUUUGAGACCAUGUGGUCGUGGGUUCGAUUCCCGGAA